GUGCCAGCAGCCGCGGUAAUACGAAGGUCCCGAGCGUUGUUCGGAAUCACUGGGCGUAAAGGGAGCGUAGGCGGCGCGGUAAGUCAGAUGUGAAAUCCCGGGGCUCAACCCGGAACUGCAUCCGAUACUGCCGUGCUAGAGGACUGGAGAGGCAACUGGAAUUCUCGGUGUAGCAGUGAAAUGCGUGGAGAUCGAGAGGAACACUCGUGGCGAAAGCGAGUUGCUGGACAGUAUCUGACGCUGAGGCUCGAAGGCCGGGGGAGCGAAAGGGAUUAGAUACCCCUGUAGUCCCGGCAGUAAACGGUGUGCGCUUGGUGUGAGGGGAAUCGACCCCCCUUGUGCCGGAGCUAACGCGUUAAGCGCACCGCCUGGGAAGUACGGUCGCAAGACUAAAACUCAAAGAAAUUGACGGGGACCCGCACAAGCGGUGGAGUAUGUGGCUUAAUUCGAUGCAACGCGAAGAACCUUACCUGGGCUUGACAUGCAUCUCUAAUCGCGUGAAAGCGCGUGACCCUUCGGGGGAUUUGCACAGGUGCUGCAUGGCCGUCGUCAGCUCGUGUCGUGAGAUGUUGGGUUAAGUCCCGCAACGAGCGCAACCCUUGUGAACAGUUGCCAGCGGUUCGGCCGGGAACUCUGUUCAGACUGCCCAGAUCAACUGGGAGGAAGGUGGGGACGACGUCAGGUCAGUAUGGCCCUUACGCCCAGGGCUGCACACGUACUACAAUGCCCAGUACAAUGAGAGCCGAGACCGCGAGGUGGAGGAAAUCUGAAAAACUGGGCCCAGUUCGGAUUGGAGGCUGCAACUCGCCUCCAUGAAGUUGGAAUCGCUAGUAAUGGCGCAUCAGCUACGGCGCCGUGAAUACGUUCCCGGGUCUUGCACACACCGCCCGU
rnacentral:rRNA from 1 species